CACGUAGGCGGCACCGUCAGUCCGAUGUGAAAGCCCUGGGCUUAACCUGGGAACUGCAUUGGAUACUGCGGCGCUAGAAUGUGAAAGAGGGGAGUGGAAUUCCAGGUGUAGCGGUGAAAUGCGUAGAGAUCUGGAGGAACACCAGUGGCGAAGGCGGCUCCCUGGUUCAACAUUGACGCUGAGGUGCGAAAGCGUGGGUAGCAAACA
rnacentral:rRNA from 1 species